UAGAGCUGGAAAACAAUCGAUGGCACUAUCGAUACCAUCGAUGUUUUUUAAAUUUUCUAAACAUCGAUGGCUCAUAGACCACUAUCGAUUGUUUUUAAUUGUAUCUGUGCAUUGGAGCAACGUUAAACUUGGACUAACUUGAAGGCGAACGGUGGUGUUGGCUUUAAGCGUGGUGAUAAAAAAUGGACAAAUUUGUGAAAAUAACAUCAAUAUCAACUGGCGAUAAAGAAAAUGUAGUUGAGGAUGACAUACAGCAGCACACAAAUAAACGCAAAAGGGAAACGUCGAUGGUUUGGCAGGUUUUUAAGAAAUGCAAGGAGAGUAAUAUGGCUAUUUGCAACCAGUGCGGUAAGUAGUACAAAACCGGUGGAAACACGACCAACCUUAUGGAUCACUUGAAGCGCAUGCAUCCUACGCUACUUAAAGAUCAGCCUUUAGAGAAAGCAAAAUGCAUGACGAAAUUCCUAGAGCGUGAUAUCCUCUACUCUAAUACCUCUGAAAAAAAGAAACGCAUUGACAAGCUGGUACUAAAUAUGGUUGCGUCCGAUGUCUUACCUCUAAAUGUGAUUAAUAAUGUUGGGUUAACCAAGCUGAUCCAUGAACUAGAUCCACGUUACAAAAUGCCGAGUAAGACUCACCUGCGCAAUGUACUAUUAAAAAAUGAAUACAAUAGUCUAAAAGAAACUUUAAAAGCAGAGCUUCAGAUUGUCGAAAGCGUCGCAUUAACAACCGAUGGCUGGUCAUCAAGAGCCAAUGAAUCCUAUCUAACUGUUACGUGUCAUUUUGUAACCGAAUCUUUUGAGCUUGCUUCAAAAAUUUUGUCGACGAACCAACUUAUCACACCAACUAACCACUCAGCUGUUAACAUUGCUGAUACUAUAAAUAAUGUUGUAACUGAAUGGGGU